rnacentral:sRNA from 1 species
ACCCACGAGAAGCUGAUCCCAUGACUAAAGUGCAGGCCGAACUAGACGAGACCAAAAUCAUUCUGGGGACCAAGCUGGGAACCAGUGGAACCCUCAAGUCUCCCUUCCUCAUGGCCACUGCCUGUCUGAGCAUUUACUGGGUUCCUAGGGUUUGGCUUCUGAAGACCUGGAUUCCCACCCUGGUGCCUUUGUUAGGGUUUCAGGUGCCUCCACACCCCAUAGGUGCCUCCCCUUGCAGUGUUUGCAUUGAAGGUGAACAGAUUGAAGCGCAGUGCACUGACCACAGGGCAGCUUCUGGUAUAUGGGCCCAGGGUUGUCACACAGGCCCCUUUGAAAAGCGCCAUUUUGAGCUGAAA